UGUAUUUCAGAUUCUUCAAGGUCAGCGCUCCAGUCCACAAUAAGGCAAAAAUUACAGUGUGCAGGUGCCUUUUCUACAUAGAGUCACUAGUUGUUCAUUCUCUACCACUGCUAACUGAAGAGGCCAGUACACUCAGGAUCGAAAAGAGGAGUGUUUUUGUGGCACAAGGAAAGUGUCUCUCCCUCUGGACCAGGAGGACCAGAUACAAGUCCCAUCUGCUCCACAGAGGAUCGAUAUUCCUCUUGGAUGAAAACAUACAAUUUUGAAGGCAUUGGUUCAUGUUGGGAUAAGGAUCUAUCUCCAGUAUUUUAUCAAGUAAUAAUCUGGACUCAUCAAUCAAGACUCACUGCAUCCUAGAAGGGAGGACACCAUGUCUGAGCCCAAUUCCUCUCCCGAAUGUCCAAAUCUGCACUUUCUAAGAGAGGUCAAUUGAUAUCAAUCAAGAAUCAGGCACCCAGGUUGAAUUUUCUCCCUAAGGAGAACAGAACUACUCAAUGAUUUCCUGACUGUGUUCAGCUACUUUCAAAUACCUGAAAUAUUAUAUAGUUCACUGAUUGAGUUCACAGCAAUCUUAGUGCAGUUAAUAUUUCAUUAGCCAGGUUUUCUGUUGCUGUUCAUUUUCACUGCUAUGUCAGAAUGUCAUGAAUUCAAGUGCACAACAUCUGUGUGACCGCCCCUGUGCAGUACUGAGGUAGAAUUGUAUGUUGGUGAUGCCAUAUUUUAAGUGAGACA